UACGUAGGGUGCAAGCGUUGUCCGGAAUUAUUGGGCGUAAAGAGCUCGUAGGCGGUUUGUCGCGUCUGCUGUGAAAACCCGAGGCUCAACCUCGGGCCUGCAGUGGGUACGGGCAAACUAGAGUGCGGUAGGGGAGAAUGGAAUUCCUGGUGUAGCGGUGGAAUGCGCAGAUAUCAGGAGGAACACCGAUGGCGAAGGCAGUUCUCUGGGCCGUAACUGACGCUGAGGAGCGAAAGCGUGGGAGCGAACAGG
rnacentral:rRNA from 1 species